AGCGAACGCUGGCGGCAGGCCUAACACAUGCAAGUCGAACGAAGCCUUCGGGCUUAGUGGCGGACGGGUGAGUAACACGUGGGAACGUACCUUUUGGUUCGGAACAACUCAGGGAAACUUGAGCUAAUACCGGAUGAGCCCUUAGGGGGAAAGAUUUAUCGCCGAAAGAGCGGCCCGCGUUAGAUUAGCUAGUUGGUGAGGUAAAGGCUCACCAAGGCUACGAUCUAUAGCUGGUCUGAGAGGAUGAUCAGCCACACUGGGACUGAGACACGGCCCAGACUCCUACGGGAGGCAGCAGUGGGGAAUCUUGCGCAAUGGGCGAAAGCCUGACGCAGCCAUGCCGCGUGAAUGAUGAAGGUCUUAGGAUUGUAAAAUUCUUUUACCAGGGACGAUAAUGACGGUACCUGGAGAAAAAGCCCCGGCUAACUUCGUGCCAGCCGCCGCCGUAA
rnacentral:rRNA from 1 species